GGAGGAGAGGUUCCAUCUGUCACAUGAGAGGAGGGGCUCAGGGUGACAGGUCCCCUCAGCCCAAAACGUCCACAGGGUCUUCACGUACACUAGAAGGGCCAAGAUUCUGGCCCUCCAAGACCUAGAAACUUCCAAAAUGGACAUGUGACAACAAACGCUUGGCCAAGCACAGGCAUUGAAUUCAAGACAGAAAACAAGCCCAUCCUGGACCACAACCGUUUCGGAGCAGAAGAGGACAUUGCAGCAGCCCCGAAGCCACAAGGACACAACUCGGAUUUUUACAUUCGAGGAAGUUUCGCUUUACAAACAAUUCACCUCCUUGUCCAGCAUUUUCUGCUUCCCCCCCCCCCCAGAAACAUGAACACAGCAUCACCCUUGGAGCCCGCUCCCCGCUCCCCCAGCACCCUCCCUUGUCCAGGUGGCCUGACCCUGCCUGGAAACCGCCCCUGGGCUGAGCAGUGAGAAGCAAAGGUCCUGCUCCCA